rnacentral:rRNA from 1 species
GACGAACGCUGGCGGCGCGCUUAACACAUGCAAGUCGAACGGAAAGGCCUGCUUUCCCUUGUGGAUUGCGGGUACUCGAGUGGCGAACGGGUGAGUAACACGUGAGUGAUCUGCCCCCAACUUGGGUAUAAGCCUGGGAAACUGGGUCUAAUUCCCGAUAGGACUGCAGGGUGGUGCCUGUGGUGGAAAACGAUUUUCUAGUGGUUGGGGAUGAGCUCGCGGCCUAUCAGCUUGUUGGUGGGGUAAUGGCCUACCAAGGCGGCGACGGGUAGCCGGCCUGAGAGGGUGGACGGCCACAUUGGGACUGAGAUACGGCCCAGACUCCUACGGGAGGCAGCAGUGGGGAAUAGUGCACAAUGGGAGGAAGCCUGAUGCAGCGACGCCGCGUGGGGGAUGACGGCCUUCGGGUUGUAAACUCCUUUCGACCGCGAGGAAGCCACCUGGUUGGAAGGGUGGUGACGGUAGUGGUAGAAGAAGCACCGGCUAACUACGU